rnacentral:antisense_RNA from 1 species
GCAACUUUAACACCUCUGAGUAGAAAAUUUGAGACUCUUCUAAAUGCUGGAAACAAUAGAUGUUUGGUUUUUAGUAAAAAGAGAAAAAAGAAAAAAAAAACUGGGUGGGGCAGGGGAGAAGAAUUCAGUGCCAAAUAACCUUUAGCAAUGCUUAGUGGUAAUUACAGCAGAGAGACAUUGUAUUAAAGGUAGUGGAAGAAUAUUUUCUCCUCUAUAUUAAAAAUCUCUUAAGAUUGCUUCUUUCAAAACAAAAUUAAAAUUAAAAUCCAAGUUUAUCAUCAUUUUUCUCAGGAGAAAAGGUUGUUCUUUUCUACCAAAUUUUCCUGCCAUCAAAUGCUCAUCAAGUGACAAUAGAAAAAGCACCAUAGUUCUCAAGCAUCAGAUUGGGAGAAGAGUCUGCUCUCAAGAGCAUCAACUAUGUAGAAAGGCGACCACUAAAGGACAUACUUGUGGAAGAA